GACGAACGCUGGCGGCGUGCCUAAUACAUGCAAGUCGAACGAGAGCGACCGGUGCUUGCACUGGUCAAUCUAGUGGCGAACGGGUGAGUAACACGUGGGUAACCUGCCCAUCAGAGGGGGAUAACAUUCGGAAACGGAUGCUAAAACCGCAUAGGUCUUCGAACCGCAUGGUUUGAAGAGGAAAAGAGGCGCAAGCUUCUGCUGAUGGAUGGACCCGCGGUGCAUUAGCUAGUUGGUGAGGUAACGGCUCACCAAGGCCGUGAUGCAUAGCCGACCUGAGAGGGUGAUCGGCCACAUUGGGACUGAGACACGGCCCAAACUCCUACGGGAGGCAGCAGUAGGGAAUCUUCCGCAAUGGACGCAAGUCUGACGGAGCAACGCCGCGUGAGUGAAGAAGGUUUUCGGAUCGUAAAACUCUGUUGUUAGAGAAGAACAAGUGCUAGAGUAACUGUUAGCACCUUGACG
rnacentral:rRNA from 1 species